rnacentral:rRNA from 1 species
GAUCAUGGCUCAGGACGAACGCUGGCGGCGUGCUUAACACAUGCAAGUCGAACGAGAAUCUACUGAAGGAGUUUUCGGACAACGGAUGUAGAGGAAAGUGGCGGACGGGUGAGUAACGCGUGAGGAACCUGCCUUGAAGAGGGGGACAACAGUUGGAAACGGCUGCUAAUACCGCAUGACGCAUAGGGGUCGCAUGAUCUUUAUGCCAAAGAUUUAUCGCUUCAAGAUGGCCUCGCGU